UAGCAGGGAAGCUAACAUUGAAUCAGGAGAAAGAGAUAAGAAAAUGGCCUUGACAAAACGUCUCCAGGAAAUGACCGGAAAAUGGAAGAGGGAAAAUAAACAGGAUAAGGAAAGGUUCCGCCAACGUGAACUAAUUAUUCAGGUUGGAACAGCCCACCAGUGAUACCUGAACACAUUGGACCAUUAAUGGACACAUCAGUUGGUAUACAUUGCACAGGUUGCUACAUGUACAUCAACAUGCAGAAAUAUGUGAAUACAGCUGGGAAAAUGAUUGAACAAAGGGAAUCACUUACCUGAUGCUGACAGCGCCACCUAGUGGUAAGGGCACUCUCCUGCCCUGGGAAGGUGCAAGGACCUUCUCUGGAGCAGGCAUUGAGGAUGUUUCACUUCUCGUUUCUCUUUUCUUGCUUCUGCUUUUGGUUGGACCCUCUGUUCUUGAUCCAGAUCGUUCAGACUGAGCAACCUGUCUACGUUUUCUGGUGGACGAUCUUGAAGGCAUGAUGGCAAGACUGUGCAUUCUUUGGCCAGCUAGGGCAUGUUCAACCGUAUCUGUGAAGAAAUAAGAAAUACGUUUUAGUGUUUAUCAAGAUAUAUUUCAAUACUCCUGAUUACUCAGAGCAUCUGGACCCUUUUCUAGUCUAAAACAGUCUUUGGGAGGAAACAGUAAAAAGCCAGGUCCCUCUCGGACCACAGAGUACUCGUGAAUUGGCUUGAUAUCUAACACGGAUCACCGGAGUACAAGACCGCCGCUCUAUUAACUGAGCUUUCACACCUCAAUUGUAUUGUUUGCUUUUGGCUCUAUUUUUUUCUUCAAGAUUUCAUCUCUUUCGGUCCAUAUUACAUUGAUUGAUUGCACUGCGCCUUGCAGCUCUUUAAUUCUUCAAGUCAUUCAAUGGCUCAUAAAAGAUUGGGAAAUUAAAUCCUCUCACUUUACAAUAGAAUAGACGUGAGGGAAGAAGGAAUAGCAUAUGUAAAUAUACCAUGAAACGUCCAGUGUCAGUGAUUCAAAUUAUUUGGUGCAACUGCUAGGAGGAAAGAUUGACCUAGGGGAGUAUACAGAAUUAAUUUUAUUCUUAAACCCUAUUCUAACUGGGGGAAAUCAUGCAGCAUAGAGCAAGUUCACAUUGUCUCAAUGUCAUAGUAUUUUCAUACACGUUUCAUACAUACCAGAUGGAUGGAAGCUCAGAAGAGAAAGAUUACAAGAAGGUUCUGAUAUUGGUCUUCUGGUGUAGACUUGAGUCAGAACUUGUUCAGAAGUGUGAAGCACUGCAAUACAGCACCUUGUCAUACUAGUUUCAUCACACACCUGUCCCUUGAGGAGUCGCUUGACCAAAGAGCGGGUCAAGCGAAGAUACGAGUACAUAGAGUGACUUCCAAAGGAGUCCCACAGAGAAGACACCAGAAUGGCUUUGUAAAGAGAUAGCACCUUAUGGAGUUUCUGAUCUAUUGCACCAUCCCCAGCCCCACUGAUGCUCUUUCGCGUCUGCGCUGGGAGCUUGAUGUCUUCAUCCUUGCGUAGAAGUAUCCAGAAUAAAGCCAUGAAAACCUUGAUGGUGUAUUGCAUGAGAUAUUCAAGGCGGGCGUUCCAAGGUCCCGCAUGGCUGACUCCAACUCCCCAAGCACUGAGAGCAGCCAUCUGGGUCCACUGAAUCAAUGACUCUAUGCUAUGAUUCCCAAUGGGUAGGAAACCUAGGGACUGGGUCGAUGACAUCAUGGCAGAAUCGUCAAACAACAACCUCCCAGAGGUCAUAUUGCCAAAUUGUCCACGGUGUCCAAGAUCGCUGCUCUGUGUACUCUCCAGCCCGAAACUAUCGGCAGUCGCAAGCAUGUCGAUCAUGUUUGAGAACGUCCGAUGCUGCGCUGACUGUAGGUUGGGGCUUGCAGGUUCACGUCGUAACGAUCCCAGGCCAACAGGCCCAAGGUCCCGUGCGGAGUAGAUGAGGUGUAGUGCUGUAGCGCCCUCGCUCAGGUAAUCACCAAGGAUGCUAGAGCAGGUAAGGUCAGCAGGAAACUCCAAGACUAGUCCUAGAUACCCAUCAGAGCAGAGGAUCAAGGGACUGGACGAAUGGCACGAGACGGAGAAGCGUUGUCGUCCUUCAUCUGCUUCCGAUGUAAGGGAGCUGGUAGGGGAUGGUGGACGGUCACCAAGAGAACUUGGCUUUCUGUAGUGAAGAAAAAUUGAAUGUCAACAUUUUCAUUUCAUGUUUAUUCGUUUUGUACAUGUAUUUCAAACAUACAAGAAAAAGAACUACUGAAUGAAAAGAACAAACAGGUUUUCCCAGCUGCUCUUCCCAACAUUACCUGGAAUAAGAAAAAUGUUAUUUGAAAUUUCUAUAUCCUCUAUCUUACAUACAUGUACCAGGUAAUUAUUCCAGCCUUGUCCCAUGAAUAUCGGUGUAAAGUAUUUGAUACUUGGAUAUAAUAAAAUCUUAAAUAUGUUCAUAUAAAAUCAAUGACCAACUACAAAAUUUUACAAAAUGCCUACAACAGGAAAAUCUGAGAAAUUUUCAUUAAAGAACAAACCAAACACUAACAAAGUACAAAAUGAAAUUUUGGCUUUAUUUAACACUAUUUUAAAACAAAUAUGACACAAAAUUUACACAAGUGAGACAAAAAUGGACUGCUGAAUGAAAAAAAAACAGCUCUCACAAUAAGCCUUAAGAAGGGCACUUUCUUAAUUGCCUCAGAGCCGCUUCUGUAAUAAGGUGAUAUUGGGAUGUGGACACUUGGCAGAAAGGCCUACAGUUUUGUAUCUGAAUAAUAAUCAUAAAACCCAUUCCAUAAACCUUGCU